GGGAGCCCAAUGGGUUUUCUUGCAGCGCACACGCCUCUUUAGGAGGACGUGCAAAACAAGAAACAGGGCACCCACCUGUAUAUAGCAGGCCAAAAUGAUCAAGCACUUUACAACUACGGCAUAACGGAUCUAUC
rnacentral:sRNA from 1 species